rnacentral:rRNA from 1 species
AUGCUUUACACAUGCAAGUCGAACGGCAGCACGGGAGCUUGCUCCUGGUGGCGAGUGGCGAACGGGUGAGUAAUGCGUCGGAACGUACCGAGUAAUGGGGGAUAACGCAGCGAAAGUUGUGCUAAUACCGCAUACGCCCUGAGGGGGAAAGCGGGGGAUCGUAAGACCUCGCGUUAUUCGAGCGGCCGACGUCUGAUUAGCUAGUUGGUGGGGUAAUGGCUCACCAAGGCGACGAUCAGUAGCGGGUCUGAGAGGAUGAUCCGCCACACUGGGACUGAGACACGGCCCAGACUCCUACGGGAGGCAGCAGUGGGGAAUUUUGGACAAUGGGGGCAACCCUGAUCCAGCCAUUCCGCGUGAGUGAAGAAGGCCUUCGGGUUGUAAGGCUCUUUCAGCUGGAACGAAACGGUGCGCUCUAACAUAGCGUGCUAAUGACGGUACCAGCAGAAGAAGCACCGGCUAACUACGUGCCAGCAGCCGCGGUAAUACGUAGGGUGCGAGCGUUAAUCGGAAUUACUGGGCGUAAAGCGUGCGCAGGCGGAUCGUUAAGCAAGACGUGAAAUCCCCGGGCUUAACCUGGGAAUGGCGUUUUGAACUGGCAGUCUAGAGUGUGUCAGAGGGGGGUGGAAUUCCACGUGUAGCAGUGAAAUGCGUAGAGAUGUGGAGGAACACCGAUGGCGAAGGCAGCCCCCUGUGAUAACACUGACGCUCAUGUACGAAAGCGUGGGUAGCAAACAGGAUUAGAUACCCUGGUAGUCCACGCCCUAAACGAUGUCAACUGGUUGUUGGGGGAGUGAAAUCCCUUAGUAACGAAGCUAACGCGAUAAGUUGACCGCCUGGGGAGUACGGCCGCAAGGUUAAAACUCAAAGGAAUUGACGG